rnacentral:miRNA from 1 species
CUUUUUUAAGUGUAUAUAAAUACCUUUGUGUGUGUGUAUGUGUGUGUGUGUAAAUACACACACACACUCACACACACACACAUAUUUGCAAAAAA